ACUCAGUAAUUGUAUACAAUGAUUCACUACAAAGUUCCAUACUGACAAUAAAAAUACACUGACUGUAACACAACUCCUAAACAACUAAUCUUGAGGUAAAAUCUUGUUCUUCAUCCUUCAAUCAUCUGAACAUCCAAAAUAUCAUAUAUUUUCCUGCAAGAAAAUAUAGAGUGCUUCGUUAAGAACAUAUUUAGUUAGGAAAAUAACUUAGUCAAGGUAUAUAUACCUGUUCCUUGCAGCUCUUCUAGACUUAAGGUUUCAUUAAUACUCUUUUAUCUACAGUGGCACGACCAUAUCAUAAAAGAAGCUGAGCUAAAUUAGAACCAAUAAAGCCAUGCAAAAAUAAAUUUAAACUGGUGGAUGUACUCUAAUUUUUCUAUCGGAAGUGCAGAUAAAGCCAACUGUCUUCCUUAGUUUUGUAUAGCAUAAGCAUUUAGUGUGCAUCAUCUAGAAGAAUAAGGUCCACAUGUCUUGGGUCAUAUGCCUGAUAUCCAUCUCCUGUACAUGGACUGACUUGUCAUCAGAAACUAGUCAGGAAAUUUUUAGAUUGCCAGAGAACUUCUGUACGUAAUUGAAGAAGGGAUACCUUUAGAUUCUGUUCUUCAGUCACCUCAUAGGUCAUAGUUGCAUAUCACAGAAUCACAGUACUAAACUCAGAAGAUUUACCUUUGUCUGCACAAGUUCAUAAAAGAUAACAUCAAGCAUAACUGAAUUAUUACCAAAUACUUGUUAAUUUCAGAACUGAAGAGCUAAUGAGUAAAUUUCAGAAUUGAAUGAGUUCAGAUAUAUGGCAGACAAGUAAAUUUCUUCUUACUGAUUCGUUUUCUCAGAUUCCCUAAUAGCGUGACUUGUUUGAUAAUCUCCUAGAUAUUAGAUCACAAAAAUUAGUAAGACAUUUUUGAUUUUAUCUCUAUGAAGCAUUCUAUCAAAAACAUAAUGAACAGAUUGUUGUGUUGGUAAAUAUAGAAUCAGAAUGAGGAUGAUUGGACAGAUUAUUGUGCCGAUAAAAAAAGAAUCAGAAAAGGGGAGAUUGGAUGUGACCUUGUAGAUCAGGGGGAACAACGUCAUGUUGCUGACAGAGUCCAAUAUGGGAGAUGAGGUGGCUAUGGUUGGCAUGGCUACUGCAAUUCUCAGCUUCUCCUCUGCAGGUCACAGCGCCAGAAAUUGUCGCAUGCCAACAAUGUGAUGUAUUAUAAAAUAUAGAACAAAUGAUCUUCCAAUAAACUGAGAGGAAGGGAGAGAUCAUACCUGAUGCUCGUCUUCACAAGGAGAUGCAGGCUUGGUCUAUGUUGGAUCGAAUACCAGAAGACAGAGGCUCAAUCUACGUUGGAUCGAAUACGAGUCUUGGUCUAGGUUGGAUCGAAUACCAGAAGACAGCCCAUCGUGUCCAUGUGUAUACUCACCGCCAUCGGAUCUGAAGCACCAUGUUGAGGGAAGGAAGUUGUCCACUGGAGGAGGAAGAUAUAGGAGAGAGGAGAAUGGUAUGGAUCGGUAGGAGUAUCCGGCGGCCGCCGCCUCGAGUAGAUGAACGAACGGUUAAUUCCCUAAUCACGGUUAUCCCUAUGUGGGCAGUUGGACUAUCCGCAUUGGUGGGCUGCACAGACGAAGUUUAUUAGGCGAGUGGGGUGCCGUGUGCGUUGUGUGCGAAGCAGGAUAU
rnacentral:lncRNA from 1 species